GACGAACGCUGGCGGCGUGCUUAACACAUGCAAGUCGAACGAGAAUCUGUGGAAAGAGGAUUCGUCCAAUUGAAGCAGAGGACAGUGGCGGACGGGUGAGUAACGCGUGAGGAACCUGCCUUUCAGAGGGGGACAACAGUUGGAAACGACUGCUAAUACCGCAUGACACAUCGGGGUCGCAUGGCUCUGAUGUCAAAGNUUUAUGCUGAAAGAUGGCCUCGCGUCUGAUUAGCUAGUUGGUGAGGUAACGGCCCACCAAGGCGACGAUCAGUAGCCGGACUGAGAGGUUGAACGGGCCACAUUGGGACUGAGAUACGGCCCAGACUCCUACGGGAGGCAGCAGUGGGGAAUAUUGGGCAAUGGGCGCAAGCCUGACGGAGCAACGCCGCGUGAGUGAAGAAGGUUUUCGGAUCGUAAAGCUCUGUUGAGAGGGACGAGAGAUAUAAUCAGG
rnacentral:rRNA from 1 species